rnacentral:rRNA from 1 species
AUUGAACGCUGGCGGCAUGCUUUACACAUGCAAGUCGAACGGUAACAGGGUGCUUGCACCGCUGACGAGUGGCGAACGGGUGGGUAAUGCGUCGGAACGUGCCGAGUAGUGGGGGAUAACGCAGCGAAAGUUGUGCUAAUACCGCAUACGUACUGAGGUAGAAAGUGGGGGACCGUCGGGCCUCACGCUAUUCGAGCGGCCGACGUCUGAUUAGCUAGUAGGUGAGGUAAAGGCCCACCUAGGCGACGAUCAGUAGCGGGUCUGAGAGGAUGGUCGGCCACACUGGGACUGAGACACGGCCCAGACUCCUACGGGAGGCAGCAGUGGGGAAUUUUGGACAAUGGGCGAAAGCCUGAUCCAGCCAUGCCGCGUGCCUGAAGAAGGCCUUCGGGUUGUAAAGGACUUUUGUCGGGGAGGAAAUCCCCAGCGUUAAUACCGCUGGGGGAUGACAGUACCUGAAGAAUAAGCACCGGCUAACUACGUGCCAGCCGCCGCAGUAACAC